rnacentral:rRNA from 1 species
CCUACGGGGGGCAGCAGUGGGGAAUAUUGGACAAUGGGCGAAAGCCUGAUCCAGCCAUGCCGCGUGUGUGAAGAAGGCCUUCGGGUUGUAAAGCACUUUCAGUGGGGAAGAAAGCCUUGGGGCUAAUACCCUCGAGGAAGGACAUCACCCACAGAAGAAGCACCGGCUAACUCCGUGCCAGCAGCCGCGGUAAUACGGAGGGUGCGAGCGUUAAUCGGAAUUACUGGGCGUAAAGCGCGCGUAGGCGGUCUGAUAAGCCGGUUGUGAAAGCCCCGGGCUCAACCUGGGAACGGCAUCCGGAACUGUCAGGCUAGAGGGCAGGAGAGGAAGGUAGAAUUCCCGGUGUAGCAGUGAAAUGCGUAGAGAUCGGGAGGAAUACCAGUGGCGAAGGCGGCCUUCUGGACUGACACUGACGCUGAGGUGCGAAAGCGUGGGUAGCAAACAGGAUUAGAUACCCCUGUAGUC